rnacentral:rRNA from 1 species
GAUGAACGCUGGCGGCGUGCCUAAUACAUGCAAGUCGAGCGAACAGAUCAGGAUCUUUCUCCUCUGACGUUAUCGGCUGACGUGUGAUUAACACGUGUAUAACCUACCUAUAUUACUGGUAUAACUUCGGGAAACCGGCGCUUAUACCGUAUAAUAUAUUGAACCGCAUGGUUCCUUAGUGAUAGACGGUUUUUCUGUCACUUAUAGAUGGAUCCGCGCCGCAUUCGCUAGUUGGUAAGUUAGCGGCUUACCAAGGCAACGAUGCGUAUCCGACAUGAUAGGGAGAUCGGCGACACUGGAAGUGAGACACGGACCAGACGCCGAGGGGAGGAAGCAGAAGGGAAUGUUCCGAAAUGGGCGAAAGCAUGACGGAGCAAAGCGGCGGGAGUGAUGAAGGUCUACGGAGCGUAAAACUAUGUUAUUAGGGAAGAACAAAAGUGUAAGUAACUAUGCACGUAAUGACGGUAACUAAUCAGAAAGCCACGGCUAACUACGUG